AGAAACUGUAGUUUUAUAAUUUCAUAUUUUCCCAGUUAUCCUGAUAAAGAAAUUCAGCAUUUCAAAUACUGCUUUGUUGUUGUUGUUUCUUUACCUAAGAAGUUUUACGGACUUCCGGAGGCUGGAAAUCCAAGAUCAAGGUGCAGAGAAGUUUGGAUUCUUCUGAGACUCUCUCCUUGGCUUGCAGAUCAUCACUUUUUCAGUGUGUCUUCACACGGCCUUUUCUCUGAGUGUGUCCACCCCUAGUGUCUCUCUUUAUAUCCUAAUCUUCUUAUAGGGACAUCAUCCUAAAGCCUUACUUUAACUUCGUUACCUCU
rnacentral:lncRNA from 1 species